AUUGAACGCUGGCGGCAGGCCUAACACAUGCAAGUCGAACGAGUGGCGGACGGGUGAGUAAUGUCUGGGAAACUGCCUGAUGGAGGGGGAUAACUACUGGAAACGGUAGCUAAUACCGCAUACCAUCGGAUGUGCCCAGAUGGGAUUAGCUAGUAGGUGGGGUACCGGCUCACCUAGGCGACGAUCCCUAGCUGGUCGGAGAGGAUGACCGACCGCCAUGUGACUGAGACAAGGGCCCAGAUCCUACGGGAGGCAUGAGUUGGGAAUAAUGGAAAAUGGGCGCAAGCCUGAAGCAGCCCAGCCGCGUGUAGGAAGAAGGCCUUCGGGUUGUAAAGUACUUUCAGCGGGGAGGCGUUACCCGCAGAAGAAGCACCGGCUAACUCCGUGCCAGCCGCCGCGGUAAUAC
rnacentral:rRNA from 1 species